UACGUAGGGUGCAAGCGUUAAUCGGAAUUACUGGGCGUAAAGCGUGCGCAGGCGGCUUUGCAAGACAGAUGUGAAUCCCCGGGCUUAACCUGGGAACUGCAUUUGUGACUGCGAUGGCUGGAGUGCGGCAGAGGGGAUGGAAUCCGCGUGUAGCAGUGAAAUGCGUAGAUAUGCGGAGGAACACCGAUGGCGAAGGCAAUCCCCUGGGCCUGCACUGACGCUCAUGCACGAAAGCGUGGGAGCAAACAGGAUUGAGAA
rnacentral:rRNA from 1 species